GCUACCCCUCUACCUCUCUGGUAGCUUUGUGGAGGAGGUAAAUGACAGCCGACGCUAUAGCCUAGCAGAUCUCACUGCCCAGUAUACCCUGCCCUGUGAGGUCAAGGUGGUGGCCAAAGAUUCCCAUCACCCCACUGACCCUCUGACCUCCUUCCCUGGCUUGCGCCUGGAGGAGAAGCUCACAGAGCCCUUUUUGGUAGUAAGCCUGGACUCCCAGCCGGAAAUGUGCUUCGAGAUCCCUCCCAGGUGGCUGGAUCUGACUGUGGUGGAGAUUGAGGGACGGCCAGGCCAGGUGGCUGGGCCGCUGUCUGUCCCUACGGUGGAGGAACUGUCAGAAGCUUUUUACUACGGCCUCCGGAAGCUGCCAGUCUCUGGGAACCAAGCUCCUCCGCCUAGGCCCCCGAAGAAGCAGCAGAACACACAGCGC
rnacentral:lncRNA from 1 species